rnacentral:rRNA from 1 species
GUGUCAGCCGCCGCGGUAAUACGAAGGGGGCAAGCGUUGUUCGGAAUCAUUGGGCGUAAAGCGCGUGUAGGCUGUCUAUUAAGUCGGGUGUGAAAUCCCUGGGCUCAACCGAGGAAGUGCAUUCGAAACUAAUAGACUAGAAGGUGGUAGAGGAUGGUGGAAUUCCAGGUGUAGAGGUGAAAUUCGUAGAUAUCUGGAGGAAUACCGGUGGCGAAGGCGGCCAUCUGGGCCACCCUUGACGCUGAGACGCGAAAGCGUGGGUAGCAAACAGGAUUAGAUACCCUGGUAGUCCACGCCGUAAACGAUGGGUACUAGGUGUUGUGGGAAUUGACCCCCGCAGUGCCGCAGCUAACGCAUUAAGUACCCCGCCUGGGAAGUACGGCCGCAAGGUUAAA